rnacentral:lncRNA from 1 species
AUGUUGAGAGUGUUUCUCUGUGUGUUUUAUGAUGACCUGCAGCGAGGCCUAUCCAUCAUAAAGCAUCAGGAGAGACAUGAAACUACUCCCCCUCUUCCCUCUUCCCCUCGCUUCCUCUCUUCCCCUCUCUUCCCCUCGCUUCCUCUCUUCCCCCCUAUUCCCCUCUCUUCCCAUCUAUUCCCCUCUCUUCCCCCCUAUUCCCCUCUCUUCCCCAUCUCUCUUCCCCUCGCUUCCUCUCUUCCCCUCGCUUCCUCUAUUCCCCUCUCUUCCCCUCGCUUCCCCCCUAUUCCCCUCUCUUCCCCUCUCUUCCCCUCUAUUCCCCUCUCUCUUCCCCUCUCUUCCCCUCUAUUCCCCUCUCUCUUCCCCUCUCUUCCCCCCUAUUCCCCUCUCUUCCCCUAUAUUCCCCUCUCUUCCCCUCUAUUCCCCUCUCUUCCCCUCUAUUCCCCUCUCUUCCCCUCUAUUCCCAUCUCUUCCCCUCUAUUCCCCUCUAUUCCCCUCUCUCUUCCCCUCUAUUCCCAUCUCUUCCCCUCUAUUCCCCUCUCUCUUCCCCUCUCUUCCCCUCGCUUCCUCUCUUCCCCCCUAUUCCCCUCUCUCCCCCCUCUCUUCCCCUCGCUUCCUCUCUUCCCCCCUAUUCCCCUCUCUUCCCCUCUCUCUUCCCCUCUCUUCCCCUCACAUCCUCUCUUCCCCCCUAUUCCCCUCUCUUCCCCCACUCUCUUCCCCUCUCUUCCCCUUGCUCCCUCUCUUCCCCCUCUCUCUUCCCCUUGCUCCCUAUCUUCCCCCUCUCUCUUCCCCUUGCUCCCUCUCUUCCCCCUCUCUUCCCCUCUCUUCCUCUCUUCCCCUCUCUUCCCCCUAUUCUCCUCUCUUCCCCCCACUCUUCCCCCCUAUUCCCCUCUCUUCCCCCUCUCUCUUCCCCUUGCUCCCUCUCUCCCCAUCUCGUCCCCUCUCUUGUCUGUAGAUACAGUAUGUAUUAGUGUUGGGGAAUACUGCUAUCCGGUGCUGCCAGAUUCUAUUAACAACUGUGAGCUCAAUCAGAGGCAAAAUCCCACUCAAUCUUCUAGAAUGUCACAGUUGUGCAGGACAUUACCCAAUCUGGCAACCGCUGUUAUCGGCUGUCCUGGUGAUGUUGUGCUGUCCAGACAUGCUCUCUCUCUCUUUCUCACUCUGGGAGAUGACAACACCCACACUCUGGAUAUGCCCGGAAUCUGA